UAUUAAAGGUCCAACCUGCCCAGUGAAUAUUUCAACGGCCGCGGUAUCCUAACCGUGCAAAGGUAGCAUAAUCACUUGUCCCCUAAAUAGAGACUUGUAUGAACGGUUAAAUGAGGGCCUAACUGUCUCCUGCAGCUGAUCAAUGAAUUUGAGCUUACAGUACAAACACUGUAAUAUAACUAUAAGACGAGAAGACCCUGUGGAGCUUAAAGCUACUACAUUAACAUACUCCUCACCCAUAGUAGGUAUAAUGUAAACUUUAAGUUGGGGCGACUGUGGAGCAAAAAAAACCCUCCAUGAAACGCGACUAAAACUCGCUAUGCUAGGCCAACAAGCCUACCCAAAAAAUGAUCCAGUCAAACUGAUUAUCGAACCAAGUUACCCCAGGGAUAACAGCGCUAUCCCCUUAAAGAGUUCACAUCGCCAGGGGGGUUUACGACCUCGAUGUUGGAUCAGGACCCCCAAGUGGUGCAGCCGCUACUAAAGGUUCGUUUGUUCAACGAA
rnacentral:rRNA from 1 species